rnacentral:lncRNA from 1 species
GCCGGUGCGCUUCAAGGGGCUGAGUGAAUACCAGAGGAACUUCCUGUGGAAAAAGUCUUAUUUGUCCGAGUCUUGUAAUUCCUCCGUGGGGCGAAAGUACCCAUGGGCUGGACUUAGAUCAGAUCAAUUAGGCAUCACGAAAGAGCCAAGUUUUAUUUCAAAAAGAAGAGUCCCUUACCAUGACCCACAGAUUUCAAAAUCUCUGGAGUGGAAUGGAGCUAUCUCAGAGAGCAAUGUGGUUGCAUCACCAGAACCAGAAGCCCCGGAAACACCAAAAUCACAAGAAGCAGAACAAAAGGAUGUUACUCAAGAAAGAGUUCACUCACUAGAAGCUUCCAGGGUUCCCAAAAGAACCAGAUCUCACUCUGCAGACUCCAGAGCUGAAGGGGCUUCAGAUGUGGAAAAUAAUGAGGGUGUAACAAACCAUACACCAGUUAAUGAAAAUGUGGAACUGGAACAUUCUACCAAGGUUCUUUCAGAAAAUGUAGAUAAUGGGGCUUCUGAUGAUCAUUGUUGCCAGAUGCAGCACAUAUACUAAAUAUGAGACAGGGUAAUGAAAACUUGGGGAACUGGUUUUCCACAAUAAAAGCCAGUUUGUUCCACCAUUCAAAGGUAACUCAGUCAUCCAUG